GGAUGAACUGAGGGUAGCGGAGAAAUUCCAAUCGAACCUGGAGAUAGCUGGUUCUCUCCGAAAUAGCUUUAGGGCUAGCCUCAAGUGAUGAUUAUUGGAGGUAGAGCACUGUUUGGACGAGGGGCCCCUCUCGGGUUACCGAAUUCAGACAAACUCCGAAUGCCAAUUAAUUUAACUUGGGAGUCAGAACAUGGGUGAUAAGGUCCGUGUUCGAAAGGGAAACAGCCCAGACCACCAGCUAAGGUCCCAAAAUAUAUGUUAAGUGGAAAAGGAUGUGGCGUUGCCCAGACAACUAGGAUGUUGGCUUAGAAGCAGCCAUCAUUUAAAGAGUGCGUAAUAGCUCACUAGUCGAGUGACACUGCGCCGAAAAUGUACCGGGGCUAAACAUAUUACCGAAGCUGUGGAUUGUCCUUUGGACAAUGGUAGGAGAGCGUUCUAAGGGCGUUGAAGCAUGAUCGUAAGGACAUGUGGAGCGCUUAGAAGUGAGAAUGCCGGUGUGAGUAGCGAAAGACGGGUGAGAAUCCCGUCCACCGAUUGACUAAGGUUUCCAGAGGAAGGCUCGUCCGCUCUGGGUUAGUCGGGUCCUAAGCUGAGGCCGACAGGCGUAGGCGAUGGAUAACAGGUUGAUAUUCCUGUACCACCUAUAAUCGUUUUAAUCGAUGGGGGGACGCAGUAGGAU
rnacentral:rRNA from 1 species